UACGAGGGGGGGCAAGUGUUGUUCGGAAUUACUGGGCGUAAAGGGAGCGUAGGCGGGCUCUUAAGUUGGAUGUUUAAAACCGGGGCCUAACCCCGGCGUGGCAUCCAAAACUGGGAGUCUUGAAUGGGACAGAGGCCAGUGGAAUUAGAGGUGUAGCGGUGGAAUGCGUAGAUAUCUCUAAGAACACCAGUUGCGAAGGCGGCUGGCUGGGUCCACAUUGACGCUGAGGCUCGAAAGCGUGGGGAGCAAACAGG
rnacentral:rRNA from 1 species